rnacentral:rRNA from 1 species
UACGUAGGGUCCAAGCGUUAUCCGGAAUCACUGGGCGUAAAGCGUGCGUAGGCGGUCCGUUUAGUGCAAUGCGAAAUCUCGUGGCUCAACCAUGUAGACUGUAUUGCAUACUGGCGGACUGGAGGAUGGCAGAGGCUAGUGGAAUUACUGGUGUAGCAGUGAAAUGCGUAGAUAUCAGUAGGAACACCAAUGGCGAAGGCAGCUAGCUGGGCCAUUUCUGACGCUAAGGCACGAAAGCGUGGGGAGCGAACAGG